GAAAAUCGCAACGGCUCUUAUCGUGGUGGGAAGGCGCAUGGGCAGGGUGGUGUAACCAUCCGGCGAUAGCCACCCAUGCGCUAGAUGACAGGCUCCUCCGGGGCCUUUUUUUAUGCCCGAAA
rfam:Rhizobium sp. Pop5 Contig840, whole genome shotgun sequence.